GAUGAAGAACGUAGCGAAAUGCGAUACGUAAUGUGAAUUGCAGAAUUCAGUGAAUCAUCGAAUCUUUGAACGCAUAUUGCGCUCUCUGGUAUUCCGGAGAGCAUGCUUGUUUGAGUAUCAGUAAACACCUCAACUUCCAUAUCUUUUUUGAAAUGGGAGUUGGACUUGAGUGAUCCCAACGCUUUUCCUCACCGAAAAGUGGCGGGUUACUUGAAAUGCAGGUGCAGCUGGACUUUUCUCUGAGCUAUAAGCAUAUCUAUUUAGUCUGCCUAACAAACAGAUUAUUACCUUUGCUGCAGCUAACAUAAAGGAGAUUAGUUCUUGUGCUGACUGAUGCAGGAUUCACAAAGACAGGCUUCGGCAGACCUUGUAAACUCGAUCUCAAAUCAAGUAAGACUACCCGCUGAACUUAAGCAUAUCAAUAAGCGGAGGA
rnacentral:misc_RNA from 1 species